rnacentral:rRNA from 1 species
UAUUGCACAAUGGGGGAAACCCUGAUGCAGCAACGCCUCGUGAGCGAUGAAGGCCUUCGGGUCGUAAAGCUCUGUCCUAAGGGAAGAUAAUGACGGUACCUUAGGAGGAAGCCCCGGCUAACUACGUGUCAGCAGCCGCGGUAAUACGUAGGGGGCAAGCGUUAUCCGGAAUAAUUGGGAGUAAAGGGUGCGUAGGCUGCCCUAUAGGUCAGAGGUCAACGGCUACGGCUCAACCGUAGUAAGCCAUUGAAACUGUAGGGAUUGAGUGCAGGAGAGGAGAGUAGAAUUCCUAGUGUAGCGGUGAAAUGCGUAGAUAUUAGGAGGAACACCAGUGGCGAAGGCGACUCUCUGGACUGCAACUGACGCUGAGGCGCGAAAGCGUGGGUAGCGAACAG